rnacentral:misc_RNA from 1 species
AAGCAUAUCUAUCUGCGUGUGCAUGUACGUGUGUAGAUCAAUAUGUGUAUGUGUAUGCACAGCACAUGUCAAAACGAACGGGCUCAAAUUUGUGAAGAGAGAAAAAUGGAAUAAGAAGAGUGCAAGGCGCCGAAGAAGAACAGCAAAGUGGCGCACGUGACUCAUGCUCACCACACCAUCUCUGGUAUCCUACUCCAGCAUGGCGAGAGCGCUAGUCGCGGCGACCUCUCUCUGUCUCUGGCACAGUGAUACGGAUUGGCCGCGGAAGUGACACGAACCAAAAAAAAGGCGAUCAGGCAAUCUCGAAUGGACUCGGGCAAGGAAGGUGACUGCUGUAGCUUGGGCACGUUCUUUUGGAUCAGCACACGCACACACACGCAUGUGCGAAACACAUCGCUAUCGACAUGCUUACUGAGGAAGCCUCUAGCCUCGCUGCGGUCGACCUCAACACUCCCUUUCGCGUCCAAUGAUCUUGGCCGCUGGCUUCAGUCUUCAACUUCGCGUUUCUCUAUUCGGCCGCUUGCUGCAUUUAUACUCGUGACAGCACGCGCAUCUCCGUAUUUGGCCGUUGUACCCCCCCCCCCGCGUCGUCAAACGAAG